rnacentral:rRNA from 1 species
UACGUAGGUGGCAAGCGUUGUCCGGAUUUAUUGGGUUUAAAGGGUGCGUAGGCGGUUCCAUAAGUCAGUGGUGAAAUACAAUAGCUUAACUAUUGAGGUGCCAUUGAUACUGCGGAACUUGAGUACAGACGAGGUAGGCGGAAUUGACGGUGUAGCGGUGAAAUGCUUAGAUAUGACAUAGAACACCAAUUGCGAAGGCAGCUGGCUACACGAAUAUUGACACUGAUGCACGAAAGCGUGGGGAUCAAACAGG